AGCAGCCAUUGCGGUAAUUCCAGCUCCAAUAGCGUAUAUUAAAGUUGCUGCGGUUAAAAAGCUCGUAGUUGAAUUUCGGAAUUGAUGCAUCGGUCGUGCCUUAAGGGGCAUGAACUGGUGUAGCCAAUUUCUCACCUUCUGGUGAAUUGUGAUGUUCUUAAUGGGUGUCUCAAUGAACUAGAAUUUUUUACUUUGAAAAAAUUAGAGUGUUUAAAGCAGGCAUUAAUUUGCUUGAAUACAUUAGCAUGGAAUAAUGAAAUAGGACAGUGGUUCCGUUUUGUUGGUUUCUAGGAUCACGUAAUGAUUAAUAGGGACAGUUGGGGGCAUUAGUAUUCAAUUGUCAGAGGUGAAAUUCUUGGAUUUAUUGAAGACUAACUAUUGCGAAAGCAUUUGCCAAGGAUGUUUUCAUUAAUCAAGAACGAAAGUUAGGGGAUCAAAGACGAUUAAGUACGUCGUAGUCCUAACCAUAAACUAUACCAACUAGGAAUCAGACGAUGUUAAUUUUUUAAUGACUCGUUUGGUACCUUACG
rnacentral:rRNA from 1 species